GGAUAGCUCAACCAGUUGAGCAUGGGACUCAUAACCUCAGGAUUGUGAGUUCGAGCCCCACGUUGGGCA